rnacentral:lncRNA from 1 species
CCUUAAGAUGAAUCUCGUCCUCGAGAUUCGAAAGAUGGUGAUCAAAGAAACAUGGACACUCUACUUUUGAACCUUAUUCACUUCCUCGAGUAGCUCCUUAGUAGCCAUUCCAUUGCUUUCGUUACUCCGAACAUCUCCCUCAAUUGUUUCCAAGAGUUCAGUAGUGCACAUUGUAUAGAUAAGGUUUUUUUUUUUACUCAUAGCUCAAACAAGGGUAAUACCUACACAUGAUAUUGACUUCUCAUCCAGAGGCAUAAAAGAUACUUCCAACUAAGGCACUAGAACGCAUGGAACCUUCAUUUAGCAACCGAGUCUCAUAACCUUUUUAAAUGCUACACAUCAUAUAGUCUUUAAAAUUUGUUGUACCGAGUCUCUUGAUCCAAGGUUGGCUUCAUGACUAAGUUCCAACUAUCAGUACCAUUAUCACAGUUAAGUUGCUUCACUCUCAUAUUGUAUAUAUAACUUUGUAGAUUUUAGUGUCAUCUAAUCCUCAUAAAUACAACUCUCAAUCCGUGAGUAUCAGCAAUGACAUAUAUCUCCAUUAAUAUUCUCUAAGUAGGAUGAUAUCUUGAAACAAACCAACAUACCACUUGAUGUCCUCGUAGA